AGAAAAUAUAAAACCACUUGCCAAUCUUAAGGGGAUUUGGAGAUGAAGAUAUCAGGAUUUGAAUCUUUACGUUCACGUACUGGGAGAGCGGUACUCAUCCACUGAACUACCGGCCCAAGGGCAGUGCAUCAAGUCAUUUGAUUAUUUAUAUUGCAAGGCAAAAACACAAUAGAAUCUAGAUAGUUCUUCAUUGAUGGCUGCUUUCUUUCCAUAACACAGUUACUUACAAACUAUCAUCAUGCAGUUACAAACUAUGCAUCUGCUUCCUAAACAGCGCUACAAAUGCUUUUAAGACAUUUAUUUAUUUGCACCUACUGAUCCAGCUCCGGACUAACAGAAUGACAAGCUUGAGAAAGCUAAAGAUACUAGCUAUUCUACUCCAACAUAGGAACUGGAAUCUAGGCUUGAGGCCUUGCCUUCAAGCACCGUCAUCAUCAAGAUUGUUAACCCGUUCACACUCAUCAAUCCAUUCACUGUAUCUGCAAUCAAAAGAUUUAGAUCAGGGAGAGAGAAGGUGGGGUGGCGAGGGAAGGUGAUUGAUAGUUGAGGAUAAGAUGAACUUACAUGUCUAUUGGUUCAGUUAGAGCU
rnacentral:misc_RNA from 1 species